AAAUAUUCCAGCACCUGCUAUAUACUAAAAGUGACGGAGAGCCGUGGUCGCUACGUACUGACGGAUAUGUACGUCUGAGUGGAGUCUUCGGACAAAGCGAAGUGAUAAAAGUUCUUCCAAGAAAAGCGAGUAUAGCAGCCAGUACCGCAAACCGACACAGGUAGACGGGAUGAGUAUUCUAAGGCGCUCGGGUGAGCCGUGGAGAAGGAACUAGGCAAAUUGACGCUGUAACUUCGGGAUAAAGCGUACCGUCUUCGGACGGUCUCAGUAAAAUGGUUCAACCAACUGUUUAACAAAAACACAGGGCCCUGCAAAAUCGAAAGAUGACGUAUAGAGCCUGAUACCUGCCCGGUGCUGGAAGGUUAAGGAAGGGUGUUCGUCGCAAGACAAAGCUCCUGACUGAAGCCCCAGUAAACGGCGGCCGUAACUAUAACGGUCCUAAGGUAGCGAAAUUCCUUGUCGGGUAAGUUCCGACCUGCACGAAUGGUCUAAUGAGUUGAACGCUGUCUCCUCCACGAGCCCGGUGAAAUUGUAGUAUCGGUGAAGAUGCCGGUUACCCGCCACGGGACGGAAAGACCCCGUGAACCUUCACUACAACUUUGCAUUGAUUUUGAAUUACGGAUGUGUAGAAUAGUUGGGACGCUUUGAAGCAUUGCCGCCAGGUAGUGUGGAGCGGUCGUUGAAAUACCAACCUUCUUUGAUUUAGAGUCUAAUCCCUUGCGGGAAACAGUGCAUGGUGGGUAGUUUGACUGGGGUGGUCGCCUCCUAAAGAGUAACGGAGGCUUGCAAAGGUACCCUCAGUACGGUUGGUAAUCGUACGUAGAGCGCAUUAGUAUAAGGGUGCUUGACUGUGAGGCAUACAAGCCGAGCAGGGACGAAAGUCGGCUAAAGUGAUCCGGCGGUUCUGUAUGGAAGGGCCGUCGCUCAAAGGAUAAAAGGUACUCCGGGAUAACAGGCUGAUCUCCCCCAAGAGCUCAUAUCGACGGGGAGGUUUGGCACCUCGAUGUCGGUUCGUCACAUCCUGGGGCUGGAGAAGGUCCCAAGGGUUCGGCUGUUCGCCGAUUAAAGUGGCACGUGAACUGGGUUCAGAACGUCGCAAGACAGUUCGGUCCCUAUCUGUGGUGGGCGCAAGUAAAUUGAGAGAACAUGACCUUAGUACGAGAGGACCGGGUCGUACGUACCGCUGGUGUAUCAGUUGUGCCGCCAGGUGCAAUGCUGAGUAGCUAUGUACGGACAGGAUAAACGCUGAAAGCAUCUAAGCGUGAAACCUAUCUCAAGAUGAAUUUACUUUUAAGGGUCGUCAGAGACUAUGACGUUGAUAGGCUAUAGGUGUAAAACUGGUAACAGUAAAGCCAAGUAGUACUAAUUGCCCGUACGCUUUAAUUA
rnacentral:rRNA from 1 species